CCAUCCCGCGUGAAGGACGACUGCCCUAUGGGUUGUAAACUUCUUUUGUAUCGGGAUAAACCUACCCUCGUGAGGGUAGCUGUAGGUACUAUACGCAUAAGCACCGGCUACCUCCGUGCCAGCAGCCGCGGUAAUACGGAGGGUGCAAGCGUUAUCCGGUUUUCUUGGGUUUAAAUGGUCCGUAGGCGGACUUAUAAGUCAGUGGUGAAAGCCUGUCGCUUAACGAUAGAACUGCCAUUGAUACUGUAAGUCUUGAGUAUAUUUGAGGUAGCUGGAAUAAGUAGUGUAGCGGUGAAAUGCAUAGAUAUUACUUAGAACACCAAUUGCGAAGGCGGGUUACCAAGAUAUAACUGACGCUAAGGGACGAAAGCGUG
rnacentral:rRNA from 1 species